GACGAACGCUGGCGGCGUGCUUAACACAUGCAAGUCGAACGGAAAGGCCCUGCUUUUGUGGGGUGCUCGAGUGGCGAACGGGUGAGUAACACGUGAGUAACCUGCCCUUGACUUUGGGAUAACUUCAGGAAACUGGGGCUAAUACCGGAUAGGAGCUCCUGCUGCAUGGUGGGGGUUGGAAAGUUUCGGCGGUUGGGGAUGGACUCGCGGCUUAUCAGCUUGUUGGUGGGGUAGUGGCUUACCAAGGCUUUGACGGGUAGCCGGCCUGAGAGGGUGACCGGCCACAUUGGAACUGGGAUACCGCCCAGACUCCUACGGGAAGCAGCAGUGGGAAAUAUUGCACAAUGGUCGGAAGCCUGAUGCAGCAACGCCGCGUGCGGGAUGACGGCCUUCGUGUUGUAAACCGCUUUCGCCUGUGACGAGGCGUGAGUGACGGUAAUGGGUAAAGAAGCACCGGCUAACUACGUG
rnacentral:rRNA from 1 species